rnacentral:rRNA from 1 species
GGCUUAGAGCCUGAUCAUGGAUCAGGAUGAAAGCUAGCUACCGGCUUAACACAUGCAAGUCCAGGGGCAGCAUGAACUUAACUUGCUAAGUUUGAUGGCCACCGGCGCACGGGUGAGUAACACGUAUCCAACCUGCCGAUGACUCGGGGAUAGCCUUUCGAAAGAAAGAUUAAUACCCGAUGGCAUAGUUCUUCCGCAUGGUGGAACUAUUAAAGAAUUUCGGUCAUCGAUGGGGAUGCGUUCCAUUAGGUUGUUGGCGGGGUAACGGCCCACCAAGCCUUCGAUGGAUAGGGGUUCUGAGAGGAAGGUCCCCCACAUUGCAACUGAGACACGGUCCAAACUCCUACGGGAGGCAGCAGUGAGGAAUAUUGGUCAAUGGACGAGAGUCUGAACCAGCCAAGUAGCGUGAACGAUGACUGCCCUAUGGGUUGUAAACUUCUUUUAUACGGGAAUAAAGUGAGGCACGUGUGCCUUUUUGUAUGUACCGUAUGAAUAAGGAUCGGCUAACUCCGUGCCAGCAGCCGCGGUAAUACGGAGGAUCCGAGCGUUAUCCGGAUUUAUUGGGUUUAAAGGGAUCGUACGCGGACGCUUAAGUCAGCUGUGAAAGUUUGCGGCUCACCCGUAAAUUUGCAGUUGAUACUGGGUGUCUUGAGUACAGGAGAGGCAGGCGGAAUUCGUGCUGUAGCGCUGAAAUGCUUACAUAUCACGAAUAACUCCGAUCUGCGAAGGCAGCUUGCUGGACUGUAACUGACGCUGAUGCUCGAAAGUGUGGGUAUCAACCAGGAUUAGAUACCCUGGUAUUCCACACAGUAAACGAUGAAUACUCGCUGUUUGCGAUAUACAGCAAGCGGCCAGCGAAAGUCCUAAACUAUUU